rnacentral:rRNA from 1 species
AACGAACGCUGGCGGCGUGGAUAAGCCAUGCAAGUCGAACGGGACUUUUCGUUGUAGCAAUACGAUGGAAAGUCUAGUGGCGAACGGGUGCUUAACACGUGGGCAACCUGCCAUGAAGUGGGGGAUAGCUCGCCGAAAGGCGAAUUAAUACCGCAUGUGAUUAGAGAGGACAUCCUUUCGAAAUUAAAGUCGGGGCAACCUGACGCUUCUUGUGGGGCCCGCGGCCUAUCAGCUAGUUGGUGAGGUAACGGCUCACCAAGGCUUUGACGGGUAGCUGGGCUGAGAGGACGACCAGCCACACUGGGACUGAGACACGGCCCAGACACCUACGGGUGGAAGCAGUCGAGAAUUUUUGACAAUGGGGGAAACCCUGAUCGAGCGACGCCGCGUGGAGGAUGAAGGUCUUCGGAUUGUAAACUCCUGUCAUUGGGGAACAAUGCACAGAUAUUAACUGUAUCUGUGUUGAUAGUACCCGAAGAGGAAGAGACGGCUAACUCUGUGCCAGCAGCCGCGGUAA